rnacentral:rRNA from 1 species
GAUGAACGCUGGCGGCGUGCCUAACACAUGCAAGUCGAGCGAUUUACUUCGGUAAAGAGCGGCGGACGGGUGAGUAACGCGUGGGUAACCUGCCCUGUACACACGGAUAACAUACCGAAAGGUAUGCUAAUACGAGAUAAUAUGCCUUUAUCGCAUGGUAGAAGUAUCAAAGCUUUUGCGGUACAGGAUGGACCCGCGUCUGAUUAGCUAGUUGGUGAGGUAACGGCUCACCAAGGCGACGAUCAGUAGCCGACCUGAGAGGGUGAUCGGCCACAUUGGAACUGAGACACGGUCCAAACUCCUACGGGAGGCAGCAGUGGGGAAUAUUGCACAAUGGGCGAAAGCCUGAUGCAGCAACGCCGCGUGAGCGAUGAAGGCCUUCGGGUCGUAAAGCUCUGUCCUCAAGGAAGAUAAUGACGGUACUUGAGGAGGAAGCCCCGGCUAACUACGUG